GGUUAAGCGACUAAGCGUACACGGUGGAUGCCCUGGCAGUCAGAGGCGAUGAAGGACGUGCUAAUCUGCGAAAAGCGUCGGUAAGGUGAUAUGAACCGUUACAGCCGGCGAUGUCCGAAUGGGGAAACCCAGUGCAAUUCGUUGCACUAUCGUUUGAUGAAUACAUAGUCAAACGAGGCGAACCGGGGGAACUGAAACAUCUAAGUACCCCGAGGAAAAGAAAUCAACCGAGAUUCCCCCAGUAGCGGCGAGCGAACGGGGAGCAGCCCGGAGUCUGAAUCAGCUUGUGUGUUAGUGGAAGCGUCUGGAAAGUCGCAGGGUACAGGGUGAUACUCCCGUACACUAAAACACACAGGCUGUGAACUCGAAGAGUAGGGCGGGACACGUGGUAUCCUGUCUGAAUAUGGGGGGACCAUCCUCCAAGGCUAAAUACUCCUGACUGACCGAUAGUGAACCAGUACCGUGAGGGAAAGGCGAAAAGAACCCCGGCGAGGGGAGUGAAAAAGAACCUGAAACCGUGUACGUACAAGCAGUAGGAGCCCACUUGUUGGGUGACUGCGUACCUUUUGUAUAAUGGGUCAGCGACUUAUAUUCUGUAGCAAGGUUAACCGUAUAGGGGAGCCGCAGGGAAACCGAGUCUUAACUGGGCGUUAAGUUGCAGGGUAUAGACCCGAAACCCGGUGAUCUAGCCAUGGGCAGGUUGAAGGUUGGGUAACACUAACUGGAGGACCGAACCGACUAAUGUUGAAAAAUUAGCGGAUGACUUGUGGCUGGGGGUGAAAGGCCAAUCAAACCGGGAGAUAGCUGGUUCUCCCCGAAAGCUAUUUAGGUAGCGCCUCGUGAACUCAUCUUCGGGGGUAGAGCACUGUUUCGGCUAGGGGGUCAUCCCGACUUACCAACCCGAUGCAAACUACGAAUACCGAAGAAUGUUAUCACGGGAGACACACGGCGGGUGCUAACGUCCGUCGUGAAGAGGGAAACAACCCAGACCGCCAGCUAAGGUCCCAAAGUCAUGGUUAAGUGGGAAACGAUGUGGGAAGGCCCAGACAGCCAGGAUGUUGGCUUAGAAGCAGCCAUCAUUUAAAGAAAGCGUAAUAGCUCACUGGUCGAGUCGGCCUGCGCGGAAGAUGUAACGGGGCUAAACCAUGCACCGAAGCUGCGGCAGCGACACUAUGUGUUGUUGGGUAGGGGAGCGUUCUGUAAGCCGUUGAAGGUGGCCUGUGAGGGUUGCUGGAGGUAUCAGAAGUGCGAAUGCUGACAUAAGUAACGAUAAUGCGGGUGAAAAACCCGCACGCCGGAAGACCAAGGGUUCCUGUCCAACGUUAAUCGGGGCAGGGUGAGUCGACCCCUAAGGCGAGGCCGAAAGGCGUAGUCGAUGGGAAACAGGUUAAUAUUCCUGUACUUGGUGUUACUGCGAAGGGGGGACGGAGAAGGCUAUGUUGGCCGGGCGACGGUUGUCCCGGUUUAAGCGUGUAGGUGUGUGUUCCAGGUAAAUCCGGUUCACUUUAACACUGAGGCGUGAUGACGAGGCACUACGGUGCUGAAGUGACAAAUGCCCUGCUUCCAGGAAAAGCCUCUAAGCAUCAGGUAACAUCAAAUCGUACCCCAAACCGACACAGGUGGUCAGGUAGAGAAUACCAAGGCGCUUGAGAGAACUCGGGUGAAGGAACUAGGCAAAAUGGUGCCGUAACUUCGGGAGAAGGCACGCUGAUAUGUAGGUGAAGUGAUUUACUCAUGGAGCUGAAAUCAGUCGAAGAUACCAGCUGGCUGCAACUGUUUAUUAAAAACACAGCACUGUGCAAACACGAAAGUGGACGUAUACGGUGUGACGCCUGCCCGGUGCCGGAAGGUUAAUUGAUGGGGUUAUCCGUAAGGAGAAGCUCUUGAUCGAAGCCCCGGUAAACGGCGGCCGUAACUAUAACGGUCCUAAGGUAGCGAAAUUCCUUGUCGGGUAAGUUCCGACCUGCACGAAUGGCGUAAUGAUGGCCAGGCUGUCUCCACCCGAGACUCAGUGAAAUUGAACUCGCUGUGAAGAUGCAGUGUACCCGCGGCAAGACGGAAAGACCCCGUGAACCUUUACUAUAGCUUGACACUGAACACUGGUCCUUGAUGUGUAGGAUAGGUGGGAGGCUUUGAAGUGUGGACGCCAGUCUGCAUGGAGCCAUCCUUGAAAUACCACCCUUUAAUGGCUGGUGUUCUAACGUGGGCCCGUAAUCCGGGUUGCGGACAGUGUCUGGUGGGUAGUUUGACUGGGGCGGUCUCCUCCUAAAGAGUAACGGAGGAGCACGAAGGUCAGCUAAUCCUGGUCGGACAUCAGGAGGUUAGUGCAAUGGCAUAAGCUGGCUUGACUGCGAGCGUGACGGCGCGAGCAGGUGCGAAAGCAGGUCAUAGUGAUCCGGUGGUUCUGAAUGGAAGGGCCAUCGCUCAACGGAUAAAAGGUACUCCGGGGAUAACAGGCUGAUACCGCCCAAGAGUUCAUAUCGACGGCGGUGUUUGGCACCUCGAUGUCGGCUCAUCACAUCCUGGGGCUGAAGUAGGUCCCAAGGGUAUGGCUGUUCGCCAUUUAAAGUGGUACGCGAGCUGGGUUUAGAACGUCGUGAGACAGUUCGGUCCCUAUCUGCCGUGGGCGCUGGAGAAUUGAGGGGGGCUGCUCCUAGUACGAGAGGACCGGAGUGGACGCAUCACUGGUGUUCGGGUUGUCAUGCCAAUGGCAUUGCCCGGUAGCUAAAUGCGGAAGAGAUAAGUGCUGAAAGCAUCUAAGUACGAAACUUGCCCCGAGAUGAGUUCUCCCUGACUCCUUGAGAGUCCUGAAGGAACGUUGAAGACGACGACGUUGAUAGGCCGGGUGUGUAAGCGCAGCGAUGCGUUGAGCUAACCGGUACUAAUGAACCGUGAGGCUUAACCUU
rnacentral:rRNA from 1 species